UCUAAUGCUGAAAUUUUUUUGAAAAGAACUCAUUGGAGCUGAUCUGACCAGAGUUUUAGAGUAAAGAGGAAGGGGAUUUGACUAGCGUCGUGUGUUCCUGUUUUCAGAAAGCAGAGGUGGAGAUGCACUGGAACUGGCACAAUGAAACAGCACUGAAAUGUCUUCAACGGCAGAUGUGUGCACAAUUGGAUGUGGAGACAAACUGGAACUGGGCCGUGAAUAUGCCGUGAAGCUACUUCUGUGGACAUGCAGCUUGCUCCCUAAUGAAGCCUUUCCCAAGGCUGCCUGCUUUAAGAGUCCAGACUGCCCUGCAGUAACCCAAGACAAACACUUUCCCCGGCCAUCUGGAGAGUUGCUGGCUUCUCUGCCUGUAUCUCGUCACUGUCUGCAGAGACGGCACUGCUAGGAAUCAAUCUGAGAUCUACUCUCUCUAAUCCCCUUCUGUUAGCUGAUUUUUUCGGGCUGACUAUUUGCUUUCACAUUAAAUAAUAGCCUUAGAGAAAACGAUUAUCAUUCUCUUCUCUUUUCACCCUCCUUCUCCCCCCCCCACUUUGUAUUACCACCCCCCGGAAUACAAUAAUUUAUUGAUUGUGGUAAAAGAAGUUUCUGCCUUUUUUAUUAUUAUUAAAUCAAAACCUCGUAACGCUUUUCACGGGGUGGAGGAAGGGAAAGCCUUUUUCUCGAUUUCACACUUGCUGGAGAAGAUCAUUCAGAAACGCAUAGGCUGUCUCUAAAGAGAAUGUGAAUUAACUUAGCGAAAGAAUUCAAAGUACAAAUAAACCAUGUGUUUCAAAAUGUUGCUCAGCAUUUACUUGCAGGCUCUGAGUAAUAAUUGAUUAGCCUUUGGAAUUAUUCUGUUCAGUCAUUGCUUCUUGAAG